rnacentral:rRNA from 1 species
AACUCCUACGGGAGGCAGCAGUAGGGAAUCUUCCACAAUGGACGCAAGUCUGAUGGAGCAACGCCGCGUGAGUGAAGAAGGUUUUCGGAUCGUAAAGCUCUGUUGUUGGUGAAGAAAGAUAGAGAGUAGUAACUGGUCUUUAUUUGACGGUAAUCAACCAGAAAGUCACGGCUAACUACGUGCCAGCAGCCGCGGUAAUAA